rnacentral:rRNA from 1 species
UACCUUGUUACGACUUAUCCUGAGCCAGGAUCAAACUCUGCAGCGGCCGCGGAUCCGCGCGAGUUCGAUCGUCAAAAUCGAACGCCGGCGGCGUGCCUAACACAUGCAAGUCGGACGGACUUAUGUCUGAAGGGUAACUGGAGGGUGUAAGUUAGUGGCGCACGGGUGAGUAACACGUAGAUAACCUACCCUUAAGAGGGGGACAACACAGGGAAACUUGUGCUAAUACCGCCAUAAGGCCACGGGUUGGGAUACUUGUGGUAAAGGGGUGGCGACACAGCUUAGGGAUGGGUCUGCGGCCUAUCAGGUAGUUGGUGGGGUAAUGGCCUACCAGGCUAAGACGGGUAACCGACUGAGAGGUUGGACGGUCACACUGGAACUGAGAUACGGUCCAGACUCCUACGGGAGGCAGCAGUGGGGAAUUUGCACAACUGGCGGAAGCCUGACUCAGCGACGCCGCGCUG